AUUGAACGCUGGCGGCAGGCCUAACACAUGCAAGUCGAACGAGUGGCGGACGGGUGAGUAAUGUCUGGGAAACUGCCUGAUGGAGGGGGAUAACUACUGGAAACGAUAGCUGAUACCGCAUAGCAUCAGCUGUGCCCAGAUGGGAUUAGCUAGUUGGUGGGGUAACGGCUCACCAAGGCGACGAUCCCUAGCUGGUCUGAGAGGAUGACCAGACACCCUGGAACUGAGACACGGUCCAUACGCCUACGGGAGGCAUCAGUGGGGAAUAUUGCACAAGGGGCGCAAGCCUGAUGCAGCCAUGCCGCGUGUAUGACGAGGGCCUUCGGGUUGUAAAGUACUUUAAGCGGGGAGGCGUUACCCGCAGAAGAAGCACCGGCUAACUCCGUGCCAGCAGCCGCGGUAAUAC
rnacentral:rRNA from 1 species